AUUGAACGCUGGCGGCAUGCUUUACACAUGCAAGUCGAACGGCAGCGCGGGGCAACCUGGCGGCGAGUGGCGAACGGGUGAGUAAUAUAUCGGAACGUACCCAGAAGUGGGGGAUAACGUAGCGAAAGUUACGCUAAUACCGCAUACGAUCUACGGAUGAAAGUGGGGGACCUUCGGGCCUCAUGCUUGUGGAGCGGCCGAUAUCUGAUUAGCUAGUUGGUGAGGUAAAGGCUCACCAAGGCGACGAUCAGUAGCUGGUCUGAGAGGACGACCACCCACACUGGGACUGAGACACGGCCCAGACUCCUACGGGAGGCAGCAGUGGGGAAUUUUGGACAAUGGGCGCAAGCCUGAUCCAGCAAUGCCGCGUGAGUGAAGAAGGCCUUCGGGUUGUAAAGCUCUUUUGUCAGGGAAGAAACGGUUCGGGCUAAUAUCCUGGGCUAAUGACGGUACCUGAAGAAUAAGCACCGGCUAACUACGUGCCAGCAGCCGCGGUAAUAC
rnacentral:rRNA from 1 species